rnacentral:snRNA from 2 species
UUGCUUGUGUCAGCAGCACAUAUACUAAAAUUGGAAUGAUACACAGAAGAUUAGCAUGGUCCCUGCCUAAGGAUGACAUGCAAUUUCGUAAAGCAUUCCAUUAACUA